rnacentral:rRNA from 1 species
ACACGUGACUAACCUACCCCGGUGUGGGGGAUAACGGGUCGAAAGACUCGCUAAUCCCGCAUACGAUCCGCCUCGGCGGAGGAAAGCCGUAAGGCGCACUGGGCGGGGGUCGCGUCCCAUUAGAUAGUUGGUGUGGUAAUGGCGCACCAAGUCGAUGAUGGGUCUCUGGUCUGAGAGGACGACCAGACAGAUUGGGACUGAGACACGGCCCAAACUCCUACGGGGGGCAGCAGCAAGGAAUUUUCGGCAAUGGGCGCAAGCCUGACCGAGCAACGCCGCGUGGAGGAUGACGGCUCUUGGGUUGUAAACUCCUUUUGGGGGGGACGAUAAUGACGGUACCCUCCGAAUCAGGCCCGGCUAACUACGUGCCAGCAGCCGCGGUAAUACGUAGGGGCCAAGCGUUGUCCGGAAUUACUGGGCGUAAAGCGUGGGUAGGUGGUCGGUGAUGUGCCGCGUGAAAGCGCCGGAGUAAUGCCGGCGAGGUCGCGGUAGACACACGGACUCGAGGCUCGCAGAGGAACGUGGAAUUCCCGGUGUAGUGGUGAAAUGCGUAGAUAUCGGGAGGAACACCAGUGGCGCAAGCGGCGUUCUGGGCGAGACCUGACACUGAGCCACGACGGCGUGGGGAGCAAACAGGAUUAGAUACCCUGGUAGUCCACGCAGUAAACGAUGCAUACCAGGUGUGGGAUGGCGUUCGCGUCGUUCCGUGCCGCAGCUUACGCGAUGAGUAUGCCGCCUGGGGACUACGAGCGCAAGCUUAAAACUCAAAGGAAUUG